rnacentral:sRNA from 1 species
UCCUCAAAGGUUAGAUGGCUAUUGCCUAU